rnacentral:rRNA from 1 species
CCUACGGGUGGCAGCAGUGAGGAAUAUUGGUCAAUGGACGUGAGUCUGAACCAGCCAAGUAGCGUGAAGGAUGACUGCCCUAUGGGUUGUAAACUUCUUUUAUAUGGGAAUAAAACGUUCCACGUGUGGGAUUUUGUAUGUACCAUAUGAAUAAGGAUCGGCUAACUCCGUGCCAGCAGCCGCGGUAAUACGGAGGAUCCGAGCGUUAUCCGGAUUUAUUGGGUUUAAAGGGAGCGUAGGUGGAUUGUUAAGUCAGUUGUGAAAGUUUGCGGCUCAACCGUAAAAUUGCAGUUGAAACUGGCAGUCUUGAGUACAGUAGAGGUGGGCGGAAUUCGUGGUGUAGCGGUGAAAUGCUUAGAUAUCCCGAAGAACUCCGAUUGCGAAGGCAGUUCACUGGACUGCAACUGACACUGAGGCUCGAAAGUGUGGGUAUCAAACAGGAUUAGAUACCCUUGUAGUC